GAGUUUGAUCAUGGCUCAGAUUGAACGCUGGCGGCAGGCCUAACACAUGCAAGUCGAACGGUAACAGGAAACAGCUUGCUGUUUCGCUGACGAGUGGCGGACGGGUGAGUAAUGUCUGGGAAACUGCCUGAUGGAGGGGGAUAACUACUGGAAACGGUAGCUAAUACCGCAUAACGUCGCAAGACCAAAGAGGGGGACCUUCGGGCCUCUUGCCAUCAGAUGUGCCCAGAUGGGAUUAGCUAGUAGGUGGGGUAACGGCUCACCUAGGCGACGAUCCCUAGCUGGUCUGAGAGGAUGACCAGCCACACUGGAACUGAGACACGGCCCAGACUCCUACGGGAGGCAGCAGUGGGGAAUAUUGCACAAUGGGCGCAAGCCUGAUGCAGCCAUGCCGCGUGUAUGAAGAAGGCCUUCGGGUUGUAAAGUACUUUCAGCGGGGAGGAAGGGAGUAAAGUUAAUACCUUUGCUCAUUGACGUUACCCGCAGAAGAAGCACCGGCUAACUCCGUGCCGGCAGCCGCGGUAAUACGGAGGGUGCAAGCGUUAAUCGGAAUUACUGGGCGUAAAGCGCACGCAGGCGGUUUGUUAAGUCAGAUGUGAAAUCCCCGGGCUCAACCUGGGAACUGCAUCUGAUACUGGCAAGCUUGAGUCUCGUAGAGGGGGGUAGAAUUCCAGGUGUAGCGGUGAAAUGCGUAGAGAUCUGGAGGAAUACCGGUGGCGAAGGCGGCCCCCUGGACGAAGACUGACGCUCAGGUGCGAAAGCGUGGGGAGCAAACAGGAUUAGAUACCCUGGUAGUCCACGCCGAAACGAUGUCGACUUGGAGGUUGUGCCCUUGAGGCGUGGCUUCCGGAGCUAACGCGUUAAGUCACCGCCUGGGGAGUACGGCCGCAAGGUUAAAACUCAAAUGAAUUGACGGGGGCCCGCACAAGCGGUGGAGCAUGUGGUUUAAUUCGAUGCAACGCGAAGAACCUUACCUGGUCUUGACAUCCACGGAAGUUUUCAGAGAUGAGAAUGUGCCUUCGGGAACCGUGAGACAGGUGCUGCAUGGCUGUCGUCAGCUCGUGUUGUGAAAUGUUGGGUUAAGUCCCGCAACGAGCGCAACCCUUAUCCUUUGUUGCCAGCGGUCCGGCCGGGAACUCAAAGGAGACUGCCAGUGAUAAACUGGAGGAAGGUGGGGAUGACGUCAAGUCAUCAUGGCCCUUACGACCAGGGCUACACACAUGCUACAAUGGCGCAUACAAAGAGAAGCGACCUCGCGAGAGCAAGCGGACCUCAUAAAGUGCGUCGUAGUCCGGAUUGGAGUCUGCAACUCGACUCCAUGAAGUCGGAAUUGCUAGUAAUCGUGGAUCAGAAUGCCACGGUGAAUACGUUCCCGGGCCUUGUACACCCGCCCGUCACACCAUGGGAGUGGGUUGCAAAAGAAGUAGGUAGCUUAACCUUCGGGAGGGCGCUUACCACUUUGUGAUUCAUGACUGGGGUGAAGUCGUAACAAGGUAACCGUAGGGGAACCUGCGGUUG
rnacentral:rRNA from 1 species